AUUUAAUUAUAUAAAAUACAGUAGCCUCUCUCUUAACCGGACACCUUUUAACCGGACAUCGGUUUAACCGUACUACACUCCACGGAAGUGACAUCUCUUUAACCGGAAAAUAAUUAUCAGCACAUCGGUUCAACCGGACUGGAUUGGCAGGAAAAAGUGUAAAAAGGCUUAGCAACUAACUAUUUUCUUGUGUUUUGUGUUCACAGAUAUCAUAAUAAAGCGUCUAGUUUUAUUAUUUUUACGUAAAAGUCAUUAUUGGCUUAUAAACUACAAAAUAUGCGUACCAAUUUAACGACUUUUAGGGAACGUCGGUUUAACCGGAAAAACGUUAUCCGGACUGGCCUCAGUCCCGAUGAGUCCGGAUAAGAGAGAGGCUAC